GCAAUUAAGAGCGUAUAGAGAAUGCCUAGGCUCUCAGAGGCGAUGAAGGACGUGAUAAGCUGCGAUAAGCUACGGGUAUUGGCUAAUACAAAUAGAUCCGUAGAUUUCCGAAUAGGGUAACCUAUUCUGAUGAAGUCAGAAUAUCUUAAUAAACAAUUAAGAUGCAAACCUGGAGAACUGAAACAUCUAAGUAACCAGAGGAAAAUAAAACAAUAGUGAUUCUGUUAGUAGUGGCGAGCGAAAACGGAAUAGCCCAAACUAUUUUAACUUAAAUUUUAAAAUAGGGUAGUAGGACUAAAGUUAAAACUAAAUCAAGAACUUAAAUUAUUUGGAAAAAUAUACUAUAAAAGGUGAUAGUCCUGUCAAGGUAAAUGAUUUAGUUUUUUUUGGUAUCCUGAGUAAAUCGAAACUGGAGAAAUUUUGAUUGAAUUUGCCGGCACCAUCCGGUAAGGCUAAAUACUACUGAGAGACCGAUAGUGUACAAGUACCGUGAGGGAAAGGUGAAAAGUACUCUGAAUAAGAGAGUGAAAAGUUCCUGAAACUAUACGUUUACAAGCGGUUGAAGUUUUAAUACACAAUACUUAUUAGAACGACAGCGUGCCUUUUGCAUAAUGAGCCUACGAGUUAAUCUUUUUUGGCAAGGUUAAUUUUUUAAAAAAAAGAAGCCGGAGCGAAAGCGAGUUUUAAUAGAGCGAUUUAGUCAAAAGAGUUAGACGCGAAACUUGGUGAUCUACCCAUGAUCAGGCUGAAGUAUUGGUAAAACAAUAUGGAGGGCCGAACUAUUAGAUGUUGCAAAAUCUUUAGAUGAAUUGUGGGUAGGGGUGAAAGGCCAAUCAAACUAAGAAAUAGCUCGUACUCUUCGAAAUGCUUUUAGGAGCAGCCUUGAAUAAUAUACUAUCAGGGGUAGAGCUACCGAUAAAAUAAGAGGAAGUUAAAUUUUAUCUUGUUUAGACGAACUCCGAAUACUGUUUAGUUUUUUUUCAGGAGAGAGGGUUAGGGUGCUAAGGUCCUAAUCCAAAAGGGAAAGAACCCAGAUCAUCAGCUAAGGUCCCAAAAUUUAUACUAAGUUGAACUAAGGAAGUUUAUUUGCUAAGACAGCUAGAAUGUUGGCUUGGAAGCAGCCAUCAUUUAAAGAGUGCGUAACAGCUCACUAGUUAAGCAAAAAAGCGUCAAUAAUAAGCGGGCAUUAAGUAUAAUACCGAAGCUAUGACUUUAUUUGUUUUAACAAAUUAAAGGGUAGAAGAGCAUUCCAAUUGAGUUGAAGUUAAAAAGAAAUUUUUGGUGGAUUUUUUGGAAGAGAAAAUGUAGGCAUAAGUAACGAAAAUAAUAGCGAGAAACUAUUACACCGUAAAACUAAGGUUUUCACGGCUAUGAUAAUCAACCGUGAGUUAGUCGGUCCCUAAAAAUUAAUCGAAAGGUGAAAUUGAUGGAUAAUCGUUUAAUAUUCCGAUACUAGCUAGUAAUAGAAAUGAAGAGACGAAGAAGUGAAAAUUUUGCCCUGUGACGGAAAUCAGGGUUAAAGCUUGUAGGUAUAAAUAUAAUAGGAAAAUCCAUUAUGUUUGCUGAAAGUUAUAGUACUAUGAUCCUUUUUUAGGAAAUUAGAUAAUAAAUUUAAUCAUACUUCCAAGAAAAUCUUCUAAUUGAUAUUAUUUAUUAGCUAUCCGUACCGUAAACCAACACAGGUAGUUGAGGAGAGUAUCCUAAGGUGUUCGAGUGAUUCGUGGCUAAGGAACUAGGCAAAAAUACUCCGUAACUUCGGGAGAAGGAGUGCCUAACUUUAUAAAUAACUUAAAGUUGUUUAUAAUGAAAGGCCGCAGUGAAAAGAUCUGGACGACUGUUUACCAAAAACACAUGGCUUUGCAAAAUUGAAAAAUUAAGUAUAAGGCCUGACACCUGCCCGGUGCCGGAAGGUUAAUAAAAUUUGUUAGAUUAUAAUUUUAAUCGAAGCAUUUAAUAGAAGCCCCGGUAAACGGCGGCCGUAACUAUAACGGUCCUAAGGUAGCGAAAUUCCUUGUCGGGUA
rnacentral:rRNA from 1 species